GUUGAAAAUUGUUGCCAAAGCUGAGGCAGUCAACAACAAUCGUGAAAUUGCCCAUGAAUAUGGCAUUUCAGAAUUCACGGUGUGAAAAUGAUGCAACCAGCAACAUGUCCUGUUUUCUGGUGGGCUGCCGAUGACAGCAAAGUGUGCAUCCUUGCAACACUACAAACCAAAAGACCUGAGUUGGAUAUCAUGUUACCGAGCAUGUGUGAAAAUGUCCACUUGUUUGCUUAUCUAUAGAAGUUGAUUUAAGUGUUCUAAAAGCAGUAUUCUUUUUUAAUUCAUAGGAAUAAAAGUUUGAAUUCAAUGUAAUCUUUGCUACACCUCAGACCAAAAAGCUCUGCUUUUUCUCCUUUUUCUCUCAACAAUCACCGAAGGAUGAUGAUACAACAAACACACGCCCAUUGUAUUUAUUUCUUCUGGACCCCUGUCAGGUAAAGCUGUUCCUUUCUCCCUGGUUACUUAUAUCACCAUGGUAACUGGCCAAAGUAGCCCUCUCUUAUUCCUUAUUAAGGGUUAAAACCAGUUAUAACAUGUGUUGGAAACAUUGUGCCCUUACCAAAAACAAUAUGCACGGAAAAUGUUUACCAGAUAAGGGUAAAUAUUACCUGAAUGGACCAAUCAGAGCACUAUGUUUUGUGCCGGGUAAAGUUUACACAACUGGAGUAAACUUUACCUCUAGCAAUUCACAAAACAGAGCACUUGUGGGCUGUAAUGGCGCAGGAUAAUUACAUUCUUUCGAUUGUAGCUUCCUAGAAUCAAAUUUCACAAUUUAAAGGUGAAAUAAGGUGCAAAACCAAUCAGCUUUUGAAUAGAAUGGCACGCUCUUGGAUUCGUUGAGGUUCAAAGAGUGACACGGCUUUGUCUGCAAAGUCAUUUUUGUUUCAGCGUUGUAUCAAACAUUGUUGACAUGAAGGUGUUUUAUUGAAAGGUUCUAGGUGAUAAGUUUGCACACUAGCAAACCAGGCAUGUAAUCUAAUUCCGCAGCAAUCCUAGCAUAUGUUAGCGACCUCGUUGGUGGCAUAACUUGCAAGCUUGUGAUCGUUCAUUAAGCUGCCAUGACAAUGUGCACCAUUACUUCCCUUUCCAAAAUUCAUUUUUCUUUACAAAGAGACAGAGCUGACCUCCUUGAUCAGUAGUAAAAGAAGGGGCUCUGCAGAAAUAUACUUGAUGCAAGAGCAGUACAUUGAUGAGCUUGUGUUCAAAUGCUUGAUGCUGGAGUGUGAUUUGGGAAGUGCAGUAAAUUGCCUGAUAACGCAACCAGGAC